rnacentral:tRNA from 1 species
UGGGGCUCAGUGGUAGAGCACCCGCUUUGCACGUGGGAUGCUCUGGGUUGGAUCCUCAGCA